GUAAACUAAGUACAUGGCAACCAAAUGCUUUCCCAGCUGUUUCAAUAUUAGAGGAAAAGAUCAUGAAAGCAAGCAAAGUUGGCUACGAAAGAAAGCAGGACCUUUUGUUUUCCUAUUGUUCAUCAAAAUUCCCAACAAAUAGUAGCUCACGUUCCAGCAAGCAAUGUUCACACAUAAAUUAAUAAACAAACCAAAUAAAAAUUGACUUUAUGUAGAAGGUGCUAAUUUAGAUUAGCAAAGAGAACAUUAAAGAACACAUAAACCCAACGAAUCAAGCCAAAAACGCACCCCCUGUAAGAAAGUUUUGCAAAUCUAAGAAGAAACUUCCCACAAUAUCAAUGAAGAGAUUGAAAAAUCUAAGAAGCAACAGUUGAGAUUGAAAAGAAAACCCACAAUAUNNNNN
rnacentral:lncRNA from 1 species